rnacentral:tRNA from 1 species
AGUAUCGUGGCCGAGUGGGUAAGGCGCUAUGAAUUAGAGAUCUUUUGGGAUUUUCCGCGCAGGUUCGAUUCCUGCGACAUCG